UUACAUUGCAACAGUCUCCUUUAAAGGAUUGUCUAACAUGACGUCGGGUCCAGAUCUUGGUUCGACGGGCUACCCCACGGGGUAGAGCUGGUGAAUGGAUCGUACCAACGUACCGCCCAUCGUCACAGAAGGACCGAGCAGUCGUAAAUGGUUGUAAAGGCGGCUUUACGUGCUCUGAUUUACAAUUGCAUGGAGCCCCGCUGCGCGUCACCGAGCUUUCCAGUUCGGCGUAUGGGGCUGCUAGCGUGCUUACGGCACAUAGCUCGUCGGUUUGAGUGUGAGCUGCGCCUGCAUGUCCCUGUUGAGUACGCAUGGAUGAUGGCACUUGGGUGGCACUUGGCUGCAUGCUGCAUGGAUGAGCUGCAGCGUGUUGCGGUGCCAAAGUCGUUGGUAUAUAUCCGGGUGAACGGCUUCGGGUACAUUAUGUAAGUCCCUAAGUAAUGCGCUGUCGUCGCUGCAGAGGGCUUAUGACAGCACUACACGGCAUUUGGGGGAUGCCCAGGCCCUUAAAAGGGGGGUCAUUCAAUAAGUCUGAACACGUCUCGGACCGAUAGGUGACCGGAGCGGCCAGACUGCGCCGUGCUGGAGCAACGGCCAGUGAGGCUGGGGAGCCAAAGACGGUGCACAGCUGCGCAGGCCAUCAGGCCCAUGUCGCGUCCCAUCCACGGGCACAAGGUUGCUGCAAACGGGGUUGAAAAUCUGGACCUGCGGUGAAUACAUAAUCUGUCGGUGAAUACAUAAUCUGCUCAUGUACGAUCCAUGAUAGGUCCGGUCGCUCCAUGCCGCAAAGGUUUUUUGACCAACCUAUUAAUGCAGCACCUGCGUGAUUCAUACUCGGCGAUCCUCAAACAUAUGCAUCCCUAACAGGCCAGGGUCCCGCAGUGCAAAGGCUCAGGGGGAAAAGACCCCAGGAGGAAGUACGUAUUAAGCUACAUAUAUACGUUUCGCACAGGCGUAACUUCCUGCAGACUAUAGGAAAGCCCACGGUGAACGUGCCAUAGGUCUCUGGGUGGGAAGAUAUUGACCCGGUGAGUGACGCACAUUGUUUUCAUUUAAACGUUAUUGCAAGACAUAUUUAAGUUUCUCUGUUAUGAGUGUUUGUGUCGUGGUUUUUCACACGUACGGAUAUACGGGUUACAACUUUUAGCGAAUCUGCACCUGACAGGCUGCAGACAGCUUAUUUGCCGAUACUUAGGAAUAAAA
rnacentral:lncRNA from 1 species